UUCCCAUCGAUACCAUCUGCCGCAACCCUAAAGGCUUUGAGUUCGACAAAGAAGUGUGCUCAUGGCAGUGGGGAGUACAGGGCAAGGAAUUGUAGCAGAAAAGGAAAAGCAGACAAGCUGAAGAGAGUAUUAAGAAAACAUUCAUUUGGUUGAAAUUUGCGAUGCAAAAUUUAGGGGAAAACAAGCUUCAAAACAGGAAAUAAUCAUGAACAAGAAAGGAGAAAAGGCGGAUGUUUGCAUCAACAUAGAAGAUGGUGUUCGUAGCUUAAAUAAGAUGAAACUUACUUUGUUUCAGAAGAGGAUUUAUCCACAGUUCUCUAUUUCUACUACUAGGUCAAGAAUCUGUCUGCUGGAGAGAAUAUUUAGGUAAGAUGCAUAUAUAUCAAGGCUGCCUGUUUCUAUCAUACGGGCUCUGGUAUCAACAAUUGGAUGACAUGAUUCAGAAAGCGCUGGAGAAAUCCCCUAAGCCUGAUGAGGUAAUGAAAUUCUUUAGUGCCCAUGAAGCACUGGUCAGCUAUGUUGAGAAUGCUAGUGAUCCAUAAGACCAGAUGGAGGAGUGCAGAACUUGAAAAGCUGUGGAUUUGGCAAAAAUCAUACUUUCAUAUCCUAGGGUUGACAGUAAAACCCAGUUUCAUAAGUUUUAGAUUUAUCUUUCUUGUCUGCGUGUACUGUCGCAACUGUUGGUUAUGGACUUUCUUGAUCUCUUAUAUUUUUUUUCCACCAUUAGGUUGGGCACUUACACCAAUGGUUGAAGCCCGACAAUGCUGAAGUUCUCAUUGAGCUCGACUAGAAAGGUGUUAAGAGUCUUCUUGUUUUUCCAGUCAGAGACACCCCCACAAUUAUCUUUACUUUUCUAAAAGGCCAAGGAAGAUCUUCCUGUUAAAAUCAACGGCAGUAGGCUCCCUAUCUAUACCAUUUUCCACAACCCAACACUUUGAGUUCGACAAAGAAGUGUGCUCAUGGCAGUGGGGAAUACAGAGCAUGGAAUUGUAGCAGGAAAAGAAAAGCAGACAAGGUGGGCAGUUUCAGAUUGGCAAGGUUGCACGCCAAUAGAAACUUAGCAGAGGACGCACUUGUGCUUGUUUAUGUAGGGAAGAUGCAUAUAUAUCAAGGCUGCCUGUAUCUAUCAUACGGUCCUAGUAUCAGCGAGAAGGUUACAUGAAGUCUAUGGCUGAAUUUAUUAAGAAAGAGUUAGAGAAGUUCUCUAAGCUUGAUGAGUGCCCAUGGAGUGCCAGUCAAUUACGUUGAGAAUGCUAGUAUUCCAUACAGAAACCAGAUGGAGGAGUGCAGAAAGUUGAAAAGCCAAGGAUUUGGCGACGAUCAUACUCUGGCGUACCAGAUUUGACUUUAAAACCAAUUUCUUUAGUUUUAACUUCCAUCUUUCUUGUCUGCCUUGAAUUAUGAGCGCUGUCUUACUUAUCCUCAUCAUCAGGUUUAAUUCCUACAGUUGUUAAGUUCUCCCAGAAAGGUGUUAAGAGUCUUCUAGCAGUUCCAGUCAGUUAUAUUACUAAGGACUAGUUCCAAAAAUAGCAAUUUCGUGUGUCGAUACAAGCACUAAAAUGGCAAUCUAAGGAGUAUUUACUAUUGCAGUUUUAUGAGUGAGCACAUUGAAACACUUGAAGAGAUUGACAUGAAGGCUCUUGAAUCCGGCAUUCAAAACUGGGGACAUGUCCCCGCCCUCAACUGCAUGUCUUCCUUCAUCACUGAUCUGGCAGAUGCAGUACUAGAAGCCUUACCUUCAGCAACUGCUAUAUCUUCCUCAAAGAAUAUCUCCAAUGAAGAUGACAAUGACUUUGUGAGAUAUGCUAUCAAGAUGUUCUUCGGUUCUAUAUUAGCAUUCUUUUUGCUUCAGUUGCAAAAAAAUGAUACUUGCAUUCAAGAAUAAUCUCCUUUAAAGGCGAUUUAGAGUAGUAUGACACCAGAUUUUCAAAAAAGUAGAAUAGCAGCUGAGUAUCAUAUGAACUGGUGAUUUCAUAGUUUGAUCAAAAUGGCAUGACAUGCCAGGGAUUU